rnacentral:rRNA from 1 species
AGCGAACGCUGGCGGCAGGCCUAACACAUGCAAGUCGAACGAUCCUUUGGGAUAGUGGCGGACGGGUGAGUAACACGUGGGAACGUGCCCUUUGGUACGGAACAACUCAGGGAAACUUGAGCUAAUACCGUAUGAGCCCUUCGGGGGAAAGAUUUAUCGCCAUUGGAGCGGCCCGCGUCUGAUUAGCUAGUUGGUGAGGUAAAGGCUCACCAAGGUUACGAUCAGUAGCUGGUCUGAGAGGAUGAUCAGCCACAUUGGGACUGAGACACGGCCCAAACUCCUACGGGAGGCAGCAGUGGGGAAUCUUGCGCAAUGGGCGAAAGCCUGACGCAGCCAUGCCGCGUGAAUGAUGAAGGUCUUAGGAUUGUAAAAUUCUUUCACCGGGGACGAUAAUGACGGUACCCGGAGAAGAAGCCCCGGCUAACUUCGUGCCAGCCGCCGCUGUAAUAC